ensembl:miRNA
UGGGUUCAGUGACUACAGACCUGUCACCCUGAUGUCUGUAGUCAUAAAAUCCUU